rnacentral:rRNA from 1 species
AUUGAACGCUGGCGGCAGGCCUAACACAUGCAAGUCGAGCGGAUGAAGGGAGCUUGCUCCUGGAUUCAGCGGCGGACGGGUGAGUAAUGCCUAGGAAUCUGCCUGGUAGUGGGGGAUAACGUCCGGAAACGGGCGCUAAUACCGCAUACGUCCUGAGGGAGAAAGUGGGGGAUCUUCGGACCUCACGCUAUCAGAUGAGCCUAGGUCGGAUUAGCUAGUUGGUGGGGUAAAGGCCUACCAAGGCGACGAUCCGUAACUGGUCUGAGAGGAUGAUCAGUCACACUGGAACUGAGACACGGUCCAGACUCCUACGGGAGGCAGCAGUGGGGAAUACUGGACAAUGGGCGAAAGCCUGAUCCAGCCAUGCCGCGUGUGUGAAGAAGGUCUUCGGAUUGUAAAGCACUUUUAGUUGGGAGGAAGGGCAGUAAGUUAAUACCUUGCUGUUUUGACGGUACCAACAGAAUAAGCACCGGCUAACUUCGUG